rnacentral:misc_RNA from 1 species
CUGUUUUACAAAAUUUUCCGCUUAUAUCUUACUUAACAAAAGUUUACUUCAAAAUUUUCUAUUUAUUGCAAAUUUAAUUUAUCGUUUUGUUUAACUUUUAAUUAUUCAAGGUUAUGUCUAAUGUCCGUGUCACACCCAUACCUGUCGUUGUUGACAGCGCUACUCUCGAAGUUAUUAAGGAGUACAUUUACCUGGGACAACUGAUCCGCAUGAAUACCUCAGUCUCUGAAGACAAAAUUGUUUGAGCAGUGUGUGU